UUACUAUAGAGUUCCGUUCUUGCAGCGGAAACGUACCGGUAACCACUAAUGUGCACGUAAGCUAGUACAUGUCGCAAUCGAAUGCUUUAGCAAUGCAUAUUUGUCCUUAAAAAAAACUUUUAGGCCACAAAUACACAGCAUCUAAAAGCAAAAUAUGAAGUUGGGUGGUCACUGAUCGUGUAUCAUACAAAGUUCUUCCGUUGGAAACGUCAUAUGUCUGUCGUCAGGAUCCCAUGCAAGUGACUGACUGCCUGUCCAUGUGAGGGUUGCAGGUCCUAUCCUAGAUGACGAGAGGCGCGGUACACACUGGACUGGUCAUCCGUCACUUGGUCACAGGGCACAUCCAGAGUCCAUUUGUGUUGGUCAUGAUAUCAGUGGACACCACCUGGUUUGCACCUGCAUUGAAGCUCCAACGUCAUGGCCAUUCAUUUGAAUGACUGGCUUGCCUCUUUCCUCUGGGGAGGAUGCUCGGCCAGAAUGAGAGAAAGCUUGCUUCAUGCGUGCUGGCAGGGAGUCCAUCACAUCGCAUGCCCAUGUGUGCGUGCAUGCAUGGUUUUUAGGAGGCGCUUUUUCCAGACGGUCCUAAGAGAUAAAGCCCACCGAGAUACUCUUAUGGCAGCAAACACCAACAACACUGAAAUCCAAUCCGUGCUUACUGCCUGUGUCCCCCCUUUUGAAGUUCCAACUUGGAAGAUUUGAGUGUGGUGAAUCGCCUGAGCUGCUCUGUUUCCAUCAGUGGCCUCAAUCACACCCCCAACCGCCACUUAUGUUUUGCUGUACUCUG